rnacentral:rRNA from 1 species
UACGGAGGGGGCAAGCGUUGUCCGGAUUUACUGGGCGUAAAGGGCGCGUAGGCGGUCUGUUAAGCGUGAUGUGAAAUCUCCAGGGCUCAACCCGGAAACUGCGUUGCGAACUGGCAGACUAGAGGAAGGUAGAGGUGAGUGGAAUUCCGAGUGUAACGGUGACAUGUGUAGAUAUUCGGAGGAACACCCAUGGCGAAGGCAGCUCACUGGGCCUUUCCUGACGCUGAGGCGCGAAAGCGUGGGUAGCAAACAGA